CAGAAAGUUCACAGUGAGUCACCUCACCAGCUAGGGAGCCUAGUCAACCACCUUGCAUCUGGAAUGUGGUCAUGAUGGCUGAGGAUAGAGGUGGAACAGGUGCCAUGCUGCUAUCACAAGACGGAGACCACAUACUCUAAGAAUGCUGAACAGAAAAAUAAAAGGAGUCUGAGUCCCUGAUGACAUAAUAGAGCUACCAUAACCACCAUGGAUAUUGUCUAGGUGCUUUGUAAUAUAAAAAGAGUAAACCCUCUAAUUGGUUCAACC
rnacentral:lncRNA from 10 species